rnacentral:rRNA from 1 species
GACGAACGCUGGCGGCGUGCCUAAUACAUGCAAGUCGAGCGAAGCGGCGGAUGGGUGAGUAACGCGUGGGUAACCUGCCCUUAAGUCUGGGAUACCCUUUGGAAACAGAUGCUAAUACCGGAUACUAAAGGAUGGACCUGCGAUGGAUUAGCUAGUUGGUAAGGUAACGGCUUACCAAGGCGAUGAUGCGUAGCCGGUGUGAGAGACUGAUCGGCCACAUUGGGACUGAGACACGGCCCAAACUCCUACGGGAGGCAGCAGUAGGGAAUCUUCGACAAUGGGCGAAAGCCUGAUGCAGCAACUCCGCGUGAGUGAUGAAGGCUUUCGGGUUGUAAAGUACUUUUGGCAGAGAAGCGGUAUUUAACGAGAAAGCCACGGCUAACUACGUGCCAGCAGCCGCGGUAAUAC